AACGAACGCUGGCGGCAUGCCUAACACAUGCCAGUCGAACGAGACCUUCAGGUCUAGUGGCGCACGGGUGCGUAACGCGUGGGAACCUGCCCUUAGGUUCGGAAUAACUCCCCGAAAGGGGUGCUAAUACCGGAUAAUGUCUUCGGACCAAAGAUUUAUCGCCUUUGGAUGGGCCCGCGUUGGAUUAGCUAGUUGGUAGGGUAAAAGCCUACCAAGGCGACGAUCCAUAGCUGGUCUGAGAGGAUGAUCAGCCACACUGGGACUGAGACACGGCCCAGACUCCUACGGGAGGCAGCAGUGGGGAAUAUUGGACAAUGGGCGAAAGCCUGAUCCAGCAAUGCCGCGUGAGUGAUGAAGGCCUUAGGGUUGUAAAGCUCUUUUACCCGGGAUGAUAAUGACAGUACCGGGAGAAUAAGCUCCGGCUAACUCCGUG
rnacentral:rRNA from 1 species